GGAUCCAGACUUUGAUUAUGGCUCAGGAUGAACGCUAGCGGCAGGCUUAACACAUGCAAGUCGAGGGGCAGCGCGGGGCAGCAAUGUUCUGGCGGCGACCGGCGGAAGGGUGCGUAACGCGUGAGCGACAUGCCCGUUGCCCGGGGACAACCGGUGGAAACGCCGACUAAUCCCCGAUGGGACGGAGGCCCUCAUGGGUCUCCGUUGAAAGUUACGGCGGCGACGGAUUGGCUCGCGUCCGAUUAGCUUGUUGGCGGGGUAACGGCCCACCAAGGCUACGAUCGGUAGGGGUUCUGAGAGGAAGGUCCCCCACAAUGGAACUGAGACACGGUCCAUACUCCUACGGGAGGCAGCAGUGAGGAAUAUUGGUCAAUGGGCGGAAGCCUGAACCAGCCAUGCCGCGUGCGGGAAGGAGGCCCUAUGGGCUGUGAACCGCUUUUGCCUGGGGGCAAUAAGGGCGUCGUGCACGUCCGAUGAGAGUACCAGGCGAAUAAGCAUCGGCUAACUCCGUGCCAGCAGCCGCGGUAAUACGGGGGAUGCGAGCGUUAUCCGGAUUCAUUGGGUUUAAAGGGUGCGUAGGCUGUGCGUCAAGUCAGGGGUGAAAUUCCGGGGCUCAACUCCGGGGCUGCCCUUGAUACUGUCGCGCUGGAGUGCGGAUGCCGCCGGAGGAAUGAGUGGUGUAGCGGUGAAAUGCUUAGAUAUCACUCAGAACACCGAUUGCGAAGGCAUCUGGCGAAUCCGUAACUGACGCUGAGGCACGAAAGCGUGGGGAUAGAACAGGAUUAGAUACCCUGGUAUUCCACGCCGUAAACGAUGAUGGCUAACCGCCGGCGACACACUGUCGGUGGCCAAGCGAAAGCGAUAAGCCAUCCACCUGGGGAGUACGUCGGCAACGAUGCAACUCAAAUGAAUUGACGG
rnacentral:rRNA from 1 species